rnacentral:lncRNA from 1 species
GUGCUUACAAUGUAACUUUUGGUGGGGGGGCCUUUGGACAUGUGGUACCACUCAAGCUCCAGAGGGGUUAGAGACUAAGGGUAGUCACAUGGGUGAACAGAAUGUCCGAAUGGCCAACUCCCAGUAAAAACUCUGGACAACAAAGCUUGGAAGGAGAGGAAAAGGCCCAACACCUGCCUGUCAGGGCUCCUGGAUCACGCCCUGCUGCCUGCUGACCUAUAUUGGACUCGAGCCCUUCUUCUGGCAUGCUCACCUGUUAACCCACCUAUCAGCCCACACCUCUGACUGCUGGCUGCUCCCCAUUGAGCCUGAAAUACUGUGCUAUCUGCCUGUACCCUUUUGCAUAAGCUGGGGUUGGGUUAUCUCAGAUUUCUAUUUGGGUCAAGAUUGCCACAUACCUCACCUCUUCUGUUCUGGUCCUCAUCCUGUGUUCCUGGACAAAAAUAACAUUUGAGUAGAAAGCUUUUCUACUUGUUGACAUAGUUGAACAGAUUUUGCUUUAUUGAGAUGAAAUGGAGCCUAAAUUUAUCUGGAAAUGUGUGGAAUCAGUAGAGAGAAGUAAACACAACUC